rnacentral:rRNA from 1 species
GACGGAAACCUUCGGGCGGAAGACUUUAUUUCGAGUGGCGGACGGGUGAGUAACGCGUGGGUAACCUGCCUCAUACAGGGGGAUAACAGUUGGAAACGACUGUUAAUACCGCAUAAGACCACAGCACCGCAUGGUGCGGGGGUAAAAACUCCGGUGGUAUGAGAUGGACCCGCGUUCGAUUAGCCAGUUGGCGGGGUAACGGCCCACCAAAGCGACGAUCGAUAGCCGAUCUGAGAGGAUGACCGGCCACAUUGGGACUGAGACACGGCCCAAACUCCUACGGGAGGCAGCAGUGGGGAAUAUUGCACGAUGGGGGAAACCCUGAUGCAGCGACGCCGCGUGAGUGAAGAAGUAUUUCGGUAUGUAAAGCUCUAUCAGCAGGGAAGAAAAUGACGUACCUGAUAAGAG